rnacentral:rRNA from 1 species
GACGAACGCUGGCGGCGUGCUUAACACAUGCAAGUCGAACGGAAAGGCCCUGCUUUUGUGGGGUGCUCGAGUGGCGAACGGGUGAGUAACACGUGUGUAACCUGCCCUUGACUUUGGGAUAACUUCAGGAAACUGGGGCUAAUACCGGAUAGGAGCUCCUGCUGCAUGGUGGGGGUUGGAAAGUUUCGGCGGUUGGGGAUGGACUCGCAGCUUAUCAGCUUGUUGGUGGGGUAGUGGCUUACCAAGGCUUUGACGGGUAGCCGGCCUGAGAGGGUGACCGGCCACAUUGGGACUGAGAUACGGCCCAGACUCCUACGGGAGGCAGCAGUGGGGAAUAUUGCACAAUGGGCGGAAGCCUGAUGCAGCAACGCCGCGUGCGGGAUGACGGCCUUCGGGUUGUAAACCGCUUUCGCCUGUGACGAAGCGUGAGUGACGGUAAUGGGUAAAGAAGCACCGGCUAACUACGUGC